ensembl:rRNA 5S_rRNA 5S ribosomal RNA
UCUCACACCCACGCGCUGUGGAACACCCACUAAGCUGGCAUCCCCUAGAGUCGGUAUCUCGGAAGCUAAGCAGGGUCGGGCCUGGUUAGUACUUGGGAGACCGCCUGGGAACAGCGGGCGCUGUUGGCU